rnacentral:lncRNA from 1 species
CCGUCCCUUCUCACCCCUUGCUCGGGGGAUGUCCUGAGGCAGCUGUCGAACCUGUGUUGGGCCAGCUUUCGAACCUCUGGACUGUAUUGAGCCGUAGGGGCGUUUUCAGCCCCGUAUCCCUUUCUUACCUCCCUGUGGGCCUUGGGCCGGAGCGGAGCGGUUAUUGCGCCUGGGCCGAACGUGGGGGGCAUCGUGGGCGCGUUACCCAGGAAGUGGAGUUAUGGAGGCG